rnacentral:rRNA from 1 species
GCUUAUGGAGAGGGAUAACCAUUAGAAAUGGUGGCUAAUACCGCAUGAUGUCGCAAGACCAAAGUGGGGGACUUUAAGGCCUCACGCCAUAAGAUGAACCCAGAUGAGAUUAGCUAGUAGGUGCGGUAAUGGCGUACCUAGGCGACGAUCUCUAGCUGGUCUGAGAGGAUGACCAGCCACACUGGAACUGAGAAACGGUCCAGACUCCUACGGGAGGCAGCAGUGGGGAAUAUUGCACAAUGGGCGGAAGCCUGAUGCAGCCAUGCCGCGUGUGUGAAGAAGGCCUUAGGGUUGUAAAGCACUUUCAGCGGGGAGGAAGGCGGUAAGAGUAAUAUGCUUAUCGAUUGACGUUACCCGCAAAAGAAGCACCGGCUAACCCCGUGCCAGCAGCCGCGGUAAUACGGAGGGUGCGAGCGUUAAUCGGAAUAACUGGGUGUAAAGGGCAUGUAGGCGGUAAGUUAAGUCAGAUGUGAAAUCCCCGAGCUUAACUUGGGAACGGCAUUUGAAACUGGCUGGCUAGAGUUUUGUAGAGGGGGGUAGAAUUCCAGGUGUAGCGGUGAAAUGCGUAGAGAUCUGGAGGAAUACCGGUGGCGAAGGCGGCCCCCUGGACAAAAACUGACGCUGAGGUGCGAAAGCGUGGGUAGCAAACAGGAUUAGAUACCCUGGUAGUCCACGCUGUAAACGAUGUCGAUUUGGAGGUUGUAACCUAGUGUUAUGGCGUCCGAAGCUAACGCGAUAAAUCGACCGCCUGGGGAGUACGGCCGCAAGGCUAAAACUCAAAUGAAUUGACGGGGGCCCGCACAAGCGGUGGAGCAUGUGGUUUAAUUCGAUGCAACGCGAAAAACCUUACCUACUCUUGACAUCCACGGAAUUAAGCAGAGAUGCUUAGGUGCCUUCGGGAGCCGUGAGACAGGUGCUGCAUGGCUGUCGUCAGCUCGUGUUGUGAAAUGUUGGGUUAAGUCCCGCAACGAGCGCAACCCUUGUCCUUUGUUGCCAGCGCGUGAUGGCGGGAACUCAAAGGAGACUGCCGGUGAUAAACCGGAGGAAGGUGGGGAUGACGUCAAGUCAUCAUGGCCCUUACGAGUAGGGCUACACACGUGCUACAAUGGCGCAUACAAAGAGCGGCGAGCGUGCGAACGUAAGCGAACCUCAUAAAGUGCGUCGUAGUCCGGAUUGGAGUCUGCAACUCGACUCCAUGAAGUCGGAAUCGCUAGUAAUCGUGGAUCAGAAUGCUACGGUGAAUACGUUCCCGGGCCUUGUACACACCGCCCGUCACACCAUGGGAGUGGGCAGCAAAAGAAGUAAGUA